CAGUAGCCACGGUAAUACGGAGGGUGCAAGCGUUAUCCGGAUUUAUUGGGUUUAAAGGGUCCGUAGGCGGAUCUGUAAGUCAGUGGUGAAAUCUCACAGCUUAACUGUGAAACUGCCAUUGAUACUGCAGGUCUUGAGUAAAUUUGAAGUGGCUGGAAUAAGUAGUGUAGCGGUGAAAUGCAUAGAUAUUACUUAGAACACCAAUUGCGAAGGCAGGUCACUAAGAUUUAACUGACGCUGAUGGACGAAAGCGUGGGGAGCGAACAGGAUUAGAGACCCCGGUAGUCCCUGUCUCUUAUAC
rnacentral:rRNA from 1 species